GAUGAACGCUGGCGGCGUGCUUAACACAUGCAAGUCGAACGGAAAGGCCUCUGCUUGCAGGGGUACUCGAGUGGCGAACGGGUGAGUAACACGUGGGUGAUCUGCCCUGCACUUCGGGAUAAGCCUGGGAAACUGGGACUAAUACCGGAUAGGACAAUGGUUUGGAUGCUGUUGUGGAAAGUUUUGCGGUGUGGGAUGAGCUCGCGGCCUAUCAGCUUGUUGGUGGGGUAAUGGCCUACCAAGGCGUCGACGGGUAGCCGGCCUGAGAGGAUGUACGGCCGCAUUAGAACUGAGAUGCAGCCCGGACUCCGGCAGGAGGCAGCAAUGGGGAAUAUUGCACAAUGGGCGCAAGCGUGAUGCAGCGAGGCCGCGUGGGGGAUGACGGCCUUCGUGUUGUAAGCUCCUUUCGCUGGGGACGAAGCGUUUUUGUGACGGUACCUGGAGAAGAAGCACCGGCUAACUACGUG
rnacentral:rRNA from 1 species